rnacentral:rRNA from 1 species
GACGAACGCUGGCGGCGUGCCUAACACAUGCAAGUCAAGGAGAAUUCCCGACUUGUCGGGAUAGUAAACUGGCGAACGGGUGAGUAACACGUAGGUAAUCUACCCUCGGGAUCGGGAUAACCUCGCGAAAGUGGGGAUAAUACCGAAUAAAGUCUCGGUAUAAUUUGUCGAGAUGAAAGAUGGGGAUCUUCGGACCUAUUACCUGAGGAUGAGCCUGCGCCUGAUUAGCUAGUUGGUAGGGUAAAUGCCUACCAAGGCAACGAUCAGUAGCUGGUCUGAGAGGAUGAUCAGCCACAUUGGGACUGAGAUAACGGCCCAGACUCCUACGGGAGGCAGCAGUGAGGAAUUUUGCGCAAUGGGCGAAAGCCUGACGCAGCAACGCCGCGUGACUGAUUAAGCUCUGAGGAGUGUAAAAGUCUGUCGUAGAGGAAGAAACUAUCCGAUAAGAAUAUUGUCGGAUACUGACGGUACUCUAUGAGAAAGCUCCGGCUAACG